rnacentral:lncRNA from 1 species
UGCUUCCUCGUCUCAGUUGAUGUUGCAUGCUAAUUAUCUGAAAUCUUAUGCGUAGAUUGACGCGGAGUGUGCCCUUUGUUGUAGCGACCGGAUCUUUAUUGUAGCCCAUUGCACCUUGUCAAUCAUUGCUUUGUUGUUGUUGCAUAGAUAAUGUAUAAGCUUGAAACAUGCUCGCAAUGGUUGGAUCUAUAUAUACCUUGUCCUUUAGUAGAAACUCUACUAGUAGCUCUACUUGAAGCUCCUUCUAUAGAUCCUUCAAA